UCAGAUGAUCGGAUUGGUUGAUUACCCAGAUGACGAAGACGAUGAGGAUGACGACACGGACGCAACAACGUCACCAGCAAAGCGACCGCGCCUUGGUUCUUCCUGACCAUGCUAUAGAGAGGACUAGGGCUAGUAUCAUAAAAUAAGUAUGACGUAAUGCGGUCGGUUGAACAGCAGCAUAUAACAAUAAUGAUAUUAAGUCUGUGAUACACUUAAUACAGCAAGGCUUCAAAUGUUAUAGCCAUGUUUCCUGAAGGAGGUCAAACAAGGAAGAAUUGUUUCCUAGCCAUGUUUCUCAGAGCUGAGCAAAGCAG
rnacentral:lncRNA from 1 species